ensembl:lncRNA
CAGGGUUGCUUCCCAGUCCCUCGUUUCUCCUCCCUGCCGCCUUUCCCGCCGUCUUCUCUGAGGGCUCUGUUGGCGGUCCUGUCUUGCCUGCCAUUGUUCUGGACCCUGCACAUUUCAGAGGUCUAGAAGUCUCCUGCCCACCGUCAGCCAAGAGGAAAUGGCCAGGUCAGGACCCAGGCCCAGAUAGGAAUCCUUCCCCACGCCGGUGGCUCCAGAUCUUCAAGCUUGUGACCCCUAGUUCAGGGCCCACUGGGGUACCAAGGUGAAUGACUUUGCCUAGCUGCAAGCUAGAGUAGGAAGACAUGUACCGAGAACCUCAGUUAUAUGGUGAGGGCUGAGACCUUCCAGAAAAUCAGGUCCGAUUCCAAAAUGACUUACAAGCCAAAGCAGCUUGAGAAGACCCUUCUGUGCUCUGACUGGGGAUCCAGUGUACAUCUGACUCCCCUGAAAUACC